rnacentral:misc_RNA from 1 species
GAUGAAGAACGUAGCGAAAUGCGAUAAGUAGUGUGAAUUGCAGAAUUCCGUGAAUCAUCGAAUCUUUGAACGCACAUUGCGCCUUCUGGUAUUCCGGAAGGCAUGCCUGUUCGAGAGUCAUUAACAACCGUUUCGAUCCCUUUCUUUCAGAAAUUACAAAGAGGAAAAGGGUUUGGUUAUGGUGGAGGAGGGAAAGGGAGCGUUUAGCCUGUAAAAAAAGAGGCUGUGUUCCGCCUCCCCCCCAAAAUUGUACAGGCGGUCGUGUGCGCCCACGCAUCGAGGUGUUGUAAAAGCUGCCACGGCACUUUUCACCUGUGCAGUGCGAGAUUGGCCAGCCGGUUUAAAAACCCCUCCAAACAAUCAAAGGUUGACCUCGGAUCAGGUAGGGAUACCCGCUGAACUUAAGCAUAUCAAUACGGAGGA